rnacentral:tRNA from 1 species
UGCUCCAUAGCUAAGUGGUUAAAAUGCCAGUCUAGUAAACUGGGAUCGUGAGUUCGAUCCCCAAUGGAGCCU